rnacentral:rRNA from 1 species
CUGCCCUGUACACACGGAUAACAUACCGAAAGGUAUGCUAAUACGAGAUAAUAUGCUUUUAUCGCAUGGUAGAAGUAUCAAAGCUCCGGCGGUACAGGAUGGACCCGCGUCUGAUUAGCUAGUUGGUGAGGUAACGGCUCACCAAGGCGACGAUCAGUAGCCGACCUGAGAGGGUGAUCGGCCACAUUGGAACUGAGACACGGUCCAA